rnacentral:lncRNA from 1 species
GGAGGAGAGCCUUCCGGAAAAGGCAAAGAAGUUGUACCCGACGAGUAGUGAUCGGGGCGCUUAGAAAGCUUUUAGUUUGUACAAACGGUGAGUAAACUUAUUAUUAUUGUAAAUUAUCUAGAGUUUUAUUUUUAAAUGCUCUUUAUGUAUUUUAUGAAAUGAAAAUGAGAUUAAAACGGGAUUUUUGAUGUUUUACAAAUAAAUGUGACAAAUAAAGAUAUAUUGUCUUGAUUAUGAAAUCGAGUAAUUGGAGGCUACCAAUUAUUUUGAAAUAUAUAUUUUCCUAUGAAUGGCUUAUGAAAUAUGAGUAUAUGUGGCUAUAUUUGAUAAAUUGCAUUGGGAAUUUAUGUAAGCUGUUUUUACUAUGCAGACUAGGUAAAUAAAUAAAAGUCACGCUAUACUGUCAAAAUUUUAUUAAAAUUGGUGGGUUUAGUCACUGCAGUGACGGGUUUUCGUGGACUACCUAUUAGAGGGGCACGGUAAACUCGGUUAUAUAGUUACUCCAGUAGUAGAGGUGAGGAGGGUAACUCUCGGGGUAGUAUUAGAGCUCACUUCACGUCGAACCCCCAUGUGAAUGUGUAACUCAGCCAACGCCAAGGAACGGCUUGUUUUAAAAAUAAAAAUGUGUUUCGCAUGUAAUGUUAUAACAACCUUGGCGGACUUGGUUAGAUGCCUCGGCCAAGGUAUCCCCGAGGAUUAGUUUUGGCUUGAGCCUUGUUUUAAUAAAAGACAUAAGCCUUAACAACUGUUUUGGUAAAUUACAAAUAUUUUAUGGUUUAAGAAAUAAAUUGAAAACAUUAUGAAAUGGGUUGAAAUUUGUUGUUUAAACUUGCCUCCAUUUUACUCGCCUUUAGAUAUUUAUGAUAAUGUCUGUUUACUCAUUGGGAUUGCAAAAUCUCACCCAACUCCUUUCCACCCAUUUCAGGUUCAGUAUAGACUGUAGAUAGCUGAUCUCAUCGAGGACUACCAUUGGAUCUGCAUUUUCCAAACCGUAGGUUCACAGUCCUCUUUACUUUUGUUUAUUCGGGGGCCCUCUUGUUAUUGUAAAUUAAAUUAAAUAUUUUGGCUUACUGUAUUUCAGUAUGUAUAAAUUUAUUUAGCUUUUACGCUAUAAAAAUUAUUCACGUAUAACUCUAUAAAUAUUGUUUUAUAAGAAAAUAGAAUAUUUUCCUUAAUAUUUCUUUUAUUUUCUUAUUAUAUUCAAAUAACCGUAAUUUCAUUUUAAAUGAAGAUUUUAGACUUUUAAACUCAUUUUGAAUAUGAAUUAUGUGUUUUGUACUUGUAUAUUUCGUUUUACCCAGUUUCAAAAUUUUUGAGAAAAAAAUGACCAAAAUACCCCUGUGCGGCGAAAAUUUUAUUUUGAUUGUUCUUUUAUCUAAAAUAGUGUAUAUUCUCUAAAAACUCGAUAUUUAACAAUGAUUGCUCAUAGGAAAGGAAAGAAACUGAUAUGUAAGCCUUGCGGGGUUUCGGUUGGCAUUCCGGAUAAUGAGUGUCAAUCGGGACGUCGCGGCUAUUGUCAUGGGCCUGAGGGAGGUUCCGGGUC